CGCUGGCGGCGUGCCUAACACAUGCAAGUCGAGCGGGGUCGUCCGGUAGCAAAUACCGGGGAAGACCUAGCGGCGAACGGGUGAGUAACACGUGAGAAACCUGCCCCGAAGUCUGGGAUAACCCGAGGAAACUCGAGCUAAUACCGGAUGUCUUCUUCUGAUCGCAUGGUCGGAUGAAGAAAGAUUUAUCGCUUCGGGAGGGUCUCGCGGCCUAUCAGCUAGUUGGCGGGGUAACGGCCCACCAGGGCGUCGACGGGUAGCUGGUCUGAGAGGACGAUCAGCCACACUGGGACUGAGACACGGCCCAGACUCCUACGGGAGGCAGCAGUGGGGAAUAUUGCGCAAUGGGCGAAAGCCUGACGCAGCAACGCCGCGUGCGGGAUGAAGGCCUUCGGGUUGUAAACCGCUUUCAGUGGGGACGAAUUCAGACGGUACCCACAGAAGAAGCCCCGGCCAACUACGUG
rnacentral:rRNA from 1 species